rnacentral:rRNA from 1 species
AUUGAACGCUGGCGGAAUGCUUUACACAUGCAAGUCGAACGGUAGAGGAGGCAACCCCCUUGAGAGUGGCGAACGGGUGAGUAAUAUAUCGGAACGUGCCCAGUCGUGGGGAUAACGUAGCGAAAGUUACGCUAAUACCGCAUACGAUCUAAGGAUGAAAGCGGGGGAUCGCAAGACCUCGCGCGAUUGGAGCGGCCGAUAUCAGAUUAGGUAGUUGGUGGGGUAAAGGCUCACCAAGCCAACGAUCUGUAGCUGGUCUGAGAGGACGACCAGCCACACUGGAACUGAGACACGGUCCAGACUCCUACGGGAGGCAGCAGUGGGGAAUUUUGGACAAUGGGCGCAAGCCUGAUCCAGCAAUGCCGCGUGCAGGAUGAAGG